rnacentral:rRNA from 1 species
AACCUGGUUGAUCCUGCCAGUAGUCAUAUGCUUGUCUCAAAGAUUAAGCCAUGCAUGUCUCAGAUUCAGCUUUCACACAGCCAGUCUGCAAACAGCUCAUUAUAUCAGUUAUUGUUUUUGUGCGCAUUCAAGAACAUGGAUAUUUUUGGUAAUCCUAUAGCUAAUACAUGAUUGAGGACCUGACUCUUGUGGAAGGGUUGUCCUUAUUAGUUUCAAAACCAUUUCAAGUAUAACUUGAUGUGAUGGCUAGCCAUAAUAAUUCAUCGAAUCAUGCGAAACACUUUGCUGAUGAUGCACUCAAGUUCCUGACCUAUCAGCUUCCGACGGGAAGGUAUUGGCCUCCCGUGGCAAUGACAGGUAACGGAGAAUUAGGGUUUGAUUCCGGAGAGGGAGCCUGAGAAAUGGCUACCACAUCUAAGGAAGGCAGCAGGCGCGCAAAUUACCCAAUUCUAAUAUAGAGAGGUAGUGACAAGAAAUAACAAUAUAUGGCAUUUACGUCUUGUAAUUGCAAUGGUAAAGCAAUAAACAUUUUUCUGAGUAUCUAUUGGAGGGCAAGUCUGGUGCCAGCAGCCGCGGUAAUUCCAGCUCCAACAGCGUAUAU